GACGAACGCUGGCGGCGUGCCUAAUACAUGCAAGUUGAGCGAUGAAGCUUGGUGCUUGCACCAAUUUGAAGAGCAGCGAACGGGUGAGUAACGCGUGGGGAAUCUGCCUUUGAGCGGGGGACAACAUUUGGAAACGAAUGCUAAUACCGCAUAACAACUUUAAACAUAAGUUUUAAGUUUGAAAGAUGCAAUUGCAUCACUCAAAGAUGAUCCCGCGUUGUAUUAGCUAGUUGGUGAGGUAAAGGCUCACCAAGGCGAUGAUACAUAGCCGACCUGAGAGGGUGAUCGGCCACAUUGGGACUGAGACACGGCCCAAACUCCUACGGGAGGCAGCAGUAGGGAAUCUUCGGCAAUGGACGAAAGUCUGACCGAGCAACGCCGCGUGAGUGAAGAAGGGUUUCGGAUCGUAAAACUCUGUUGGUAGAGAAGAACGUUGGUGAGAGUGGAAAGCUCAUCAAGUGACGGUAACUACACAGAAAGGGACGGCUAACUACGUG
rnacentral:rRNA from 1 species